rnacentral:rRNA from 1 species
AUGGCGGAUGUAGAGGAAGAGGAUUGGGAUCGCUAUGGGCCUGAACCGAAUCUCGAGGAUGCAUUUGAGGGGUUGAACUUGCGCGGAGAGGAAGCGGAAGAUCUGGACCUAUCCGGUGAGGUGGAUGAUCUGAUCAAGGAUGUGCGGUGGCUGGCCCUUUUUAGGGUUCAUACGCCGCGCCCGUUCAGCCAUGCUGCUCUACUUAACUCCAUGAGAAACGCAUGGUCAUGUGCGCAGGGUGUCACCUUCAAUAUCAAAGGACCGAAUCUGUUCUUGGCCCAGUGCCACUGUUUAGGUGAUUGGAAGCGGGUAAUGGAAGGGGGGCCGUGGCAGUUUCGGCGUGAUCCUGUGGUGCUAGUGGAAUAUGAUGGCUUUACCAAUGUUACAGAGUAUGCCCUGGACAUGUACCCUCUUUGGGCAAGAAUUAAGGGCUUGCCGGAUGGACUAACUAGGAAGUAA